rnacentral:rRNA from 1 species
ACGUACACUCCUACGGGAGGCAGCAGUGGGGAAUAUUGGACAAUGGGCGCAAGCCUGAUCCAGCCAUGCCGCGUGAGUGAUGAAGGCCCUAGGGUUGUAAAGCUCUUUCACCGGAGAAGAUAAUGACGGUAUCCGGAGAAGAAGCCCCGGCUAACUUCGUGCCAGCAGCCGCGGUAAUACGAAGGGGGCUAGCGUUGUUCGGAAUUACUGGGCGUAAAGCGCACGUAGGCGGAUCGAUCAGUCAGGGGUGAAAUCCCAGGGCUCAACCCUGGAACUGCCUUUGAUACUGUCGAUCUGGAGGAUGGAAGAGGUGAGUGGAAUUCCGAGUGUAGAGGUGAAAUUCGUAGAUAUUCGGAGGAACACCAGUGGCGAAGGCGGCUCACUGGUCCAUUACUGACGCUGAGGUGCGAAAGCGUGGGGAGCAAACAGGAUUAGAAACCCCUGUAGUCCCAUGA